CAGACAUACCUAGCACGAAGUAGAACACGGCAGAUGAAGUUUAAAAGAAGAUUAAGAUUAAAUUCACUUCCAGGAGAUUUAAUGGCAAUGUGAUCAAAUGAACCAGCAAAACUUCAUUUGCAGUCAAUUCUUUCUGAACCAGAUUCCCUACAGCAUGGCCUAUUUUAAAAUGGAUCGGCGUUUUAAUCUAUUACUUGAAUCUAAACAAAGCUGGACAGUGCUCAAGAGCAACACUUUCAGAGGUCUCUUCUUUAAGGUAAGCGAACCAGAACUUCACUCUUCCUGGCAAAGUUACAAGUGGCUCAGAAGCCUGCCUCACUCUAUCUGUCAGAGCAAAGUUCAUUUUCCAACAAGUGAAACUGGAGCCACCUUUCAACUUCCAUUCCCGUAACUUUCCUCUUCCUUGACUGUUGCCACUUCGGUUUUCAAGACCUUUUUUCUCUCCUGCCAUAAGGGCUCUUGGAUUGAGUUCCACCUAAGUGACCCACGAGUUCUCACAAGAAAAUGAAGCAGGAAAAGCAGCAGGACAUUGGAUCUAAAAGUGUAUGGAGGUAGAGGAACAUAACUGGCUUUAAAGAUACCAAAAAAGGCCAUCCUCUGGAUGCCCAGGACCCUGUCCAAGUGGCCUGGAGCCCCUUGUCGACUUCUCCCUCCAGCUGGUGCUGCUGAACGCAGAUCAUGCCACCAAUUUUGACGUUGCUGAGUCACUUUUACGAUUCAGGUUCCAGCUCACCCGUCACCUCCUGGAUGGAGCCUCACGUGUAACCUGGAGCAGCCCUCAGAAUCACCCUUCCACAGCACCCGUUCUCUUCAUUACCUUUACUGAUAUCCGAAGUGAUUCAUGUACACUCCAUCUGCCUUGUUAACUUAUGACUAGAUGGACUUUACCUUAGUCCAGGGGUUAUUGUUGCAUAUUUCAUGGUGCAGACUGUCCCAGAUCUGGCCAGGACACUGCCUUGUAUCUUUUUUGUCAUUUCCCUGUUUUGGGGUUGUUGUUUUUUUUAAGUACUUCUUCAUUUUCUGGCACAAGAUGUUCCAGGUUCAUCUUGUACUUUCUUGAUGCAGCUCAAGGAGCUUCUAUUGCUCUUUAGUCCUUUCAAUAUUCAAUAAUCACAGUGACUACAUGCUAUAGGCUAAUGGGAAGUUACCAAAGUAAUUCUACUCUAUGAGGUUUAGCUCCACUUACAUGACUAGCCAAGUGACUAGAGAUCAUCCCAAGUCACAAGCUAACUUAAAGAUUAAUUUACAAUCCUAGAAUUCCCCCUAAAGAAGAAAAAGUGCAAGAGGAUAUUCAUACAGUUUUGCUUAUAUUAGUAGAUCAUUAGAAAGAGCUCACAUAUCCAAUGCUGGAUGAAUCCAACUGUUGCAGAGUACUACAACAUAAAAGUACAGAGUCAAUGAAGACAAUGACACUGACAUGGAAAUAUGACCAGGAUGUAUUCUUAAGUGGAGAUCACAGAUUAUAAAAGAGAACAUACAGGAUUCCAGUUUCUUUUUAAAAUGCCCAAUGUUAUAUACAUUAUGAUAUCCCUAUCCACAUAUAAAUACAGAUAUGAAAGUAUAGGGCUGGAGUUGUGGCGCAGUGGUAGAGCGCUCGCCUAGCACGUGCAAGGCCCUGGGCUCGAUCCUCAGCACCACAUAAAAAUAAACAAACAAAAUAAAGGUAUUAUGUAAAACUAAAAAAAAAUAAAUAUUAAAAAAGAUGAAAGAAUAGAAGAAUCUACACCAAAAUAUUACUAGUGGUCAUGUCCAGGUGGAAAAGUAAGGUGGUUUGGGAUUUUCUUUAUUCUUUUCUCUCUUUUCAUUUUUAUUAAGCAUAUGUUGCUUUAACAAUCAUGGAAAUUUUAAAUAUCAUACAGCUGGCCAGAGCCGUAAAGAUUCUGAGCAUCUGACUUACCCCAUCAAAGGAGACAAGUAGGUUACUUCUCGGGACAAACACAGGUCUCUAGCUCUCAGAUCAGACAACCCUGAGGACACUCAACUUAUGGGAUCAGUUACAACCCUGAGGGCCAGAGACUCAUCAGACAGACAGACAGAGGGAAAAACUUUUUUCCUGACACAAGUUCUUCUUAAUAAAGGAAAUAGUAUAAGUGAUACAUACACUAUGAGGUAGGAAAAAACUUACUGCGGUGGACAAUCUGGAUGCCAGUGUCAUUUCCAAGUUCCCUUUGAGACCGAGAAGGGCAGGAACUAAAAUGAAAACUUCUGUUACGUUUUUGAACACCUCCCAGUGCUGCAAAAAAUAAAAAUAAGAAAAUAAUAAAUAAAUAAAUAAAGAUUUCUGAUGUUAUUUAAAAACCA